GGGUGUGCUGCAGACCAACGACCUGACCUCGGUGCACCUGGGGGUGAAGUUCAGCUGCCGCUUCACCCUGCGGGAGAUCCAGGAGCGCUGGUACUCGCUGCUCUACGACCCCGUCGUCUGCAAGCUCUCGUGCCAGGCCAUGCGCCAGCUGCACCCCGAGGGGUUUG